rnacentral:rRNA from 1 species
AUUGAACGCUGGCGGCAUGCUUUACACAUGCAAGUCGAACGGCAGCGCGGGCUUCGGCCUGGCGGCGAGUGGUGAACGGGUGAGUAAUACAUUGGAACGUGCCCAGUAGUGGGGGAUAGCGCGGCGAAAGCCGGAUUUAUACCGCAUACGACCUGAGGGUGAAAGUGGGGGAUCUUCGGACCUCGCGCUAUUGGAGCGGCCGAUGGCAGAUUAGCUAGUUGGUGGGGUAAAGGCCUACCAAGGCGACGAUCUGUAGCUGGUCUGAGAGGACGACCAGCCACACUGGGACUGAGACACGGCCCAGACUCCUACGGGAGGCAGCAGUGGGGAAUUUUGGACAAUGGGCGAAAGCCUGAUCCAGCAAUGCCGCGUGUGUGAUGAAGGCCUUCGGGUUGUAAAGCACUUUUGGCGGGAACGAAAAGGACUGUGCCAAUACCACGGUUCGAUGACGGUACCCGCAGAAUAAGCACCGGCUAACUACGUG